AAAUGAAUAGACGGGGACCCGCACAAGCAGUGGAGCAUGUGGUUUAAUUCGAAGCAACGCGAAGAACCUUACCAGGUCUUGACAUCCCCCUGAAUGUCUCAGAGAUGAGGCAGGCCCUUAUGGGACAGGGGAGACAGGUGGUGCAUGGUUGUCGUCAGCUCGUGUCGUGAGAUGUUGGGUUAAGUCCCGCAACGAGCGCAACCCUUGAGCUUAGUUGCCAGCGGGUGAUGCCGGGCACUCUAGGCUGACUGCCGGUGACAAACCGGAGGAAGGCGGGGAUGACGUCAAAUCAUCAUGCCCCUUAUGACCUGGGCUACACACGUGCUACAAUGGCCGGUACAAAGGGCAGCGAAGGAGCGAUCCGGAGCCAAUCCCAAAAAGCCGGUCUCAGUUCGGAUUGCAGGCUGCAACUCGCCUGCAUGAAGCCGGAAUUGCUAGUAAUCGCGGAUCAGCAUGCCGCGGUGAAUACGUUCCCGGGUCUUGUACACACCGCCCGU
rnacentral:rRNA from 1 species